UACGUAGGGGGCAAGCGUUGUCCGGAUUUACUGGGCGUAAAGAGCGUGUAGGCGGCCAAACAGGUCCGUUGUGAAAACUGGAGGCUUAACCUCCAGACGUCGACGGAAACCGCAUGGCUAGAGUCCGGAAGAGGAGAGUGGAAUUCCUGGUGUAGCGGUGAAAUGCGCAGAUAUCAGGAAGAACACCAAUGGCGAAGGCAGCUCUCUGGGACGGUACUGACGCUGAGACGCGAAAGCGUGGGGAGCGAACAGG
rnacentral:rRNA from 1 species